AGUACGAGAACGAGGAGCUCAUCAAAUAUGGCUUCAUCAAAGAUAUCUGGUUUCAUGUGGAUAAGAUGUCUUCUGCCCAUGUUUAUUUAAGACUUAAAAAGGGUCAAACCAUUGAUGAUAUAAGGGAAAGAUUCCAGGUCAAAGAUGUACCCCAAGCGUGGCCUUUGGGCAAUGAAGGCCAAAAAUGGCGGUGCUUUCCCCCGCCAUGAUCCCAAACCUAAGGCCCCCGCUGCCGCUGAGAAACCUCCCAAGUUUUACCCGACUGAAGAUGUCAAGAAGCCGCUUCUUAACAAGCGUAAACCUGAACCCACCAAACUCAGAUUUAUGUCUUCUUUCCUGCAGAAGUAAAGGUUGGUGUUCCUAUGGUAAGAAACUGUGCAAAGCGUAUGCAAGCAGAUAAUGUUUAUAAUGCUAUUUUGGUCGUUCAAAGAGCUUUGAAGGCCCCUGCAAAAGCAGCGAUAAAUGAAAUUAAUUCAUACUUCCACAUGGAAGUUUUUGAGAGCUGUCAAGGAUGACAAGGUUACAAAAUCUCCGUGCACGAGGCUGAGUUGUUGACAAAUAUCACAGAACAUAUGUUUGUUGACAAGGGUGCACAUGGUUUCAUGAGGACACAUAAAUGGCAUCAUUCCAUAGGAGCUUUUAUAAAUGUGGAAGCAUCUGGGACAGGAGGUCUUGGUAGGAUAUAAAUCAAUGCUAUUGUUUUUUGUUUCCUUGGGAUGUGAGAACAUUAUCUUAUCAUUUCUUAAAAUGACCUUGAUCAGGAUAAAUAUUGAAAAUUUCUGUCUAUAGACAUUUGUGAAAUUCCAUUUUUAUUUUCCAUGCAUAAAUUACGUAUUUGUUGACACUACAGAUCUAGUCUGCCAAUCUGGACCUGGUUCUUGGCCUUCUUCAGUCUAUGCUCAAUCAGCAAUUUAUCCCAUGGCACAUAGUGCAGCCUAGGUUUUACUUCAUUCUUUUAUAUAUUUUACAUUCAUACAAGAGUAAUUUUUGUCUUUUUACAUUUCAAAUAAAACCAUUUUUAUUUUAUUUUAUACAUGUUGAUAUUUGAACUCAUGACAUUAGCAUAUAUAAAAUCUCAACUUUACCACUACAGCAAAUGCUUCACCUCAUUGAAUUAGUGUCAAUUGUACAUUGAGUCGAUUAGAGAAAUAACUUAUAUUCUUACAAGAAUUCUUUUGUCUUUUUCAUUUUAAAUUAUAAAUGUUGAGAUUUGAAACCAUACCAUUAACAUAUAUAAAAUCUCAAUUACUAAAAUUAUUACACAAUCAAUGCUUCAUUUUAAAUUUUUGUACAUAUUAAUAUUAUUAAACAAAAGUUUUCACCUACACAUAUUACAUAUUUUAUUUUGUUCAUAUUGCAUAUGUUAUUUUUAAAUAAAAAUUAUGUUGUUUUUGUAUGUGUUUUAAAAUGCAAAUCUAAGUUUUAAAAUCGUAAUUUUGACAUAUAAAAAUUUUAAUAUACUUUUAACAACGUAAUAAAAUAGUUGUCGUGACAUCACUAUCGAACUAUUCUAGAUGGCAGAAAUGAGAGUUUAGUAGAGCCAAGUGGUAAAAGAAUUGAAUUAUUAGUUUCUCUUGAGGGGUUAGAAUUAAAAAGAAAAUAAACAUCAAAUUACAAGUUUACAAUGUCUCUACCACCAUCUUACCCCUAUUGGAUGCACAAUAUAUAAAGUAAAAUAUUUUGGUUUACAUUAGUAUGUAAUCUACAUGUUUAAUCCAACAAUUUAAUGUCUUAUUCUGCUGUCAGAUAGUACCUGGGUUUAGGGUCAUUAUCAUACAAGUUCUUGGUACCAUCCCUACGAUAUUUGGACAGGUUAUGGCCUCGUAUGUUGUUAUACAACUUGCAGGGUUGGAUGUUCAAACAGAGCCAGUGGUAUUACAAUUUACAGUAUUCUCUGUGCUGAAAACUAUUGCAAGUUAAUGAGCAAUUUUUCCUUGAAUAUUUAGGCAUUUUAAUUGAUGAUUCAUAUAUUAAUAUUUUCUGUUUGUUGCGAAAAGUUUCUUGAUGGAAAUUGGAGUAGCAAGAAUAUAUAAUAUAUGCUUUGCUUCUUCCAUUGAGCAUUUUAGGGAGAAACAAAUUAGGUUUAAGGCUUUUGACAUGUGCUUGAAUCGAUGAAGGGUGGUUUUUGGAUUAAAUUGGCUAAGACUUGGACAAAAUAGUGGAAGAACAUGACCUAUCAUACCAAAUGGCUCAACUAAGUUGAGGAAUACCAGAUUGUCAGCAUUAGCAUCCAUUUCUUCAUCUUCAUUUCUUGAAGCAUCAAAGGUUUCUUGAAGCUUUAAGGUUGUAUGGUCGUGGCUGGCGCCAAAUAGAAGAGCAUGUAGGCACUAAAUCUGUAGUUCAAAUUCGAAGCCAUGCUCAAAAGUUUUUCUCUAAGGCUCAUUGCUUUGAGUUCAUUACAAGAUUUCCUUGAUUAAGUAAAUGUAUUAUAUCUUUUAUUACCAAGAUUUACUUGAUUAAGAAAAUGCAUUGUAUUUUUUAUUACCUUGCAAUGUGUAUAGUCAUAGGCAGGUUCAACUAAUCAGUCUGUUUCUCAUAUGUAUUAUAUAUUUUAGUUUUUGUUCUAAAUUUUUAUUUUUACUUUAAUAUUUAUGGCAACUUGAGUUCUAACUAUUGGAUUUUAA